AAGAAAUGGAUAACAGAAUAAGAGGUAUAAUGCGCCUCUCUCUUCCUUUUUGGUAAUUAAUACUAUAUGUGUUGGUGUUCAUCUGGUUAAGGUAAUCCUUUCAUUUUAUAGGAUGUGCUGUGGCAUUCCUACAUUGCAGCAGUUCCUAUGACUAGCAAUAUUAUUAGUUACACCAACACCAUUUUGUUACAAUGUAUGCUUUUGGGAAUAUGAAUGGUUUUUACUU
rnacentral:misc_RNA from 1 species